rnacentral:lncRNA from 7 species
UAAAAUAAAUAGAUUAUUAUCAAACUGUCUCUAAUAAAUAUAAAUAAUAUCAUAUAACAUUUAAAAACCACACAAAUAGUCAAACAACUAAAAGUCAAAAAAUAGGCGUAUUUUGAGACGGAGGGGGUAAUAACGCUUACUCCACAUAUCAGUCGUAUAAUCACAACUAUUUGUAACGCGGUCAAGCUUUGACGUGCCAAAACUUCUACGUCGUCGGGGAAGCGCCAAACCAAACCCAAAGUGACGCGACAUGUGAUACAUUUUUAAAGGAAACGAUGGUAUCAAAUCGAGUCUACAACUCUCAAUCACAUGAUCCCAAUCCGAUCAGAGCGGCAGAGACUCGGAGGACCGAAACUGACCGCAGGCAUCUCGCUCGGAGACGGCUGCAGCAAGGGAAGGGAACCGCCGCACCGAUCCCUCCGUACCGCCCGCUCGCGCCAUCUCCUCAAAACCCGGUCGCA